CUGCAAACUGAGACACGCAGCUCUGCAUGAUCACCUGCAGCUCUGCCGCUGUGAGGGGACCGGUGAGCAGAGCACACGCUUCAAGUUAGACCUAACACAUUUAGCAAUCUUAUCUAC